AACAAAUAUAUAUAUUUUACAAUUAUAGUUGUUUGCAGGUGAGUCUAAAUAAUUUCCUUGUGUUAUGUUUCAGAAAACUCGACUCAAGUUUACUUUUUUGAGCUUGAAAUAGAGUCAACAGUAUAUCAUGAAUCGAACCUCACAAAGUUGUCACCUUUAAAUUUUGGAGAUUGGACUGUCUCGCACAUUACCGUUACAGCAGAUUGUACAGUGGAUGAAAAAAGCAACAGCACACAAAAAAACUGUUCAUGCACGAAUGAACACAGAUGGAGUUCAGAUAUUUGCGACACACACAAAUGCUGCAAAAAUGAGAACUGCACACUUAAUGUCAUAGAUGAUGCCAUGUGCCUGCCUAUUAAUACAGUGAUUAUCAAUGGGUCGACAACCUUUCCAAAUCGUAAUUAUGGUGAUUUAUAUGAUCAAAACAACAAACAAACUGAUACGUACGAUGAGAUAAGUAAGAAUAUAACCAAUGAGCUCAAAAGUAAUUUCAGCAGACUGCCGUGGUUCGAUUCGCUGGUUAUCACAGGAUUCAGAAAAGGCAGUCUGAUUGUGGAUUAUACGCUGCAAGUGCUUAGUUCCUUUAACCUCACUCAACUUCAAAAUAUAACUGGCAACCUACCAUCAACAACGCUACUAACAAAAGG